rnacentral:rRNA from 1 species
UACGUAGGGUGCGAGCGUUGUCCGGAAUUAUUGGGCGUAAAGAGCUUGUAGGCGGUUUGUCGCGUCUGCCGUGAAAGCCCAGGGCUUAACCCCGGGCCUGCAGUGGGUACGGGCAGACUAGAGUGCGGUAGGGGAGACUGGAAUUCCGUGGUGUAGCGGUGAAAUGCGCAGAUAUCAGGAAGAACACCAAUGGCGAAGGCAGCUCUCGUGGGACGGUACUGACGACUGAGACGCGAAAGCGUGGGGAGCGAACAGG